UCUGGAGAAUCCAGACUGCAGACUGCAGACUCUGAGAUUGGAGCGCUGCAAUUUGUCAAAGACCAGCUGUGCUGCUCUGGUCUCAGCUCUGAAGUCUAACCCGUCCCACCUGACAGAACUGGACCUGAGAUACAACAACCUUCAGUCUUCAGAUGUUCAGCAGCUUCAGGAUCUGGUGGAGAGUCCAAACUCCAAACUGCAGACUCUGAGAUGGGGCUGGUGAGUCUGAUGUUCCUCCUGGAGGAGCAGAGAGGAGCAGCAGCAGCAGCUGGUCUGCAGAGAUGUUGUGACUGGACGGUGUUCCUGGGAGGUGGAGAGCAGAGUGAUGGAGGA